rnacentral:rRNA from 1 species
UACGUAGGGGUGCAAGCGUUGCUCGGAAUUACUGGGCGUAAAGCGCACGUAGGCGGAUAUUUAAGUCAGGGGUGAAAUCCCAGAGCUCAACUCUGGAACUGCCUUUGAUACUGGGUAUCUCGAGUAUGGAAGAGGUGAGUGGAAUUCCGAGUGUAGAGGUGAAAUUCGUAGAUAUUCGGAGGAACACCAGUGGCGAAGGCGGCUCACUGGUCCAUUACUGACGCUGAGGUGCGAAAGCGUGGGGAGCAAACAGG